rnacentral:rRNA from 1 species
UACGGGGGGGGCAAGCGUUGUUCGGAAUUACUGGGCGUAAAGGGCUCGUAGGCGGCCAACUAAGUCGGAUGUGAAAUCCCCAGGCUUAACCUGGGAACUGCAUCCGAUACUGGAUGGCUUGAAUCUGGGAGAGGGAUGCGGAAUUCCAGGUGUAGCGGUGAAAUGCUUAGAUAUGACAUAGAACACCAAUUGCGAAGGCAGCUUACUACACAGUUAUUGACGCUGAGGCACGAAAGCGUGGGGAUCAAACAGG